CAUGACGCUGCCAAUGUUGCGGACGCUUCCGCAAUGGCAGCGAUGUGUGUAGUUUCGCAGUAUGACUAGUAUGACUCAUUGAUAAGUUUUGCGAGGCGAACGAUAACCUCCUUGGAGAGGGGCGAUGAGACAGCAAACUGGUGUACGAUCCGCAGGCAGUGUGGUGCAACUAGGCUGUCGCUCUCAAGAGUGAAAAUCAGUGGUGGCAUUAAGGUCUGCUAAAGUGCUUGUGCAUCAGCGAGUGUCAAACAUUACGAUUGAGGAUGGAGUUUCCAGAGUUAGGACGGCAUUGCUCUGAGAGCUCCUGCAAGAGGCUAGAUUUUCUGCCAGUGAAGUGCGACGCCUGCAGACAGAUUUACUGCAAGGACCACUUCCAGUACCAAAAUCACAGCUGUACCGUUGGCCUUAGCAAAGAUGUCCAGGUGCCUGUGUGUCCACUCUGUAAUAGCCCAGUACCAAGCAAGCGAGGUGACCUACCUGAUGUAGCUGUAAGCAGCCAUAUUGACCGUGACUGCCAGUCUGAUCCGGCUCAAGCAAAGCGCAAGGCAUAUGUCAAUCGUUGCUCCAUGAAGGGUUGCAAGCAGAAAGAACUGAUUCCUCUGAAGUGCACACAUUGCAGCCUCAACCACUGUUUGAAGCACAGGUUUCCGGAUGACCAUAACUGCACAGGAAAGGGAAUGUCCCCCUCAGGAAUUGACAGAACUCGCUCCUUGCUUUCUUCUUGGAUGCUGACUUUCCGAAGAAUCUGUUGCCAUUGCUGCUGCCGCAAUGUCCAGACUUCAGCAGAAAGCCUCCAGCCCUGUGGUCAAACGAGUGGCCGCAGCGUCUACGUGCGGAGCACAAAGCCAGCGGGCUAGUGUGUCUCACCUGCAGACAGAAGAUGAAGCCUUGGCAUGGGCUCUGCAGCAGUCUCUGUAUGAAGCGGAACUUCAGGGCCACAGCACUGACGAACAUGGACGGCGGAGAAGGACAUCAAGGCAAAAGUCUGACAAGAGCUGCUUCGUCUCCUAGUCGACAUGCCUCUUCGACAUGCAGUGUGGCCACCACUGCACCCUCCGUCCAGUGGCCUAAAUAUUCUGCACUUGUUGGGCUCUGAAAAAUUGUGUGCCUUUCGCCACUCUUUUUAUUGCUGGACAUUCCCAUUUAUCUUGCUAUAUAUUAAUGGCAUAUUUGAUUGGUCAUUUUGAGAGCACUCUGGCAGUACUGCUAAGGCUGAGUAAGACAGGCUUAAUUAAUUGAGAACAAGUAGGUCAAAUACCAUGUAAUUGGGCUUCAUUAUCACCAUGCCAAGCCACUUGUUUGCCAUCAUACACAGCCAUUAGAGCUUUGCCGGGUGGCUCCAAAAUGGCAUAAGUUACCACACUCCAAGAGAGCCAUCUUUGUUUUUAAAGGUCUUUAUUAUUGAAAUAAAAAGCUGAAUGUAUCUUC